AGGACGAACGCUGGCGGCGUGCCUAACACAUGCAAGUCGAACGGAGUUAAUGAUUUCGGUUGUUAACUUAGUGGCGAACGGGUGAGUAACGCGUGAACAACCUGGACCCAAAGAGGGGGAUAACAUUUGGAAACAGAUGCUAAUACCGCAUAAGACCACAACGUCACAUGGCGAAGGGGUCAAAGGAGCAAUCCGCUUUGGGAGGGGCUCGCGUCCCAUUAGGUAGAUGGCGGGGUAACGGCCCACCAUGCCAACGAUGGGUAGCCGAGCUGAGAGGCUGAUCGGCCACACUGGAACUGAGACACGGUCCAGACUCCUACGGGAGGCAGCAGUGGGGAAUAUUGGGCAAUGGAGGAAAAACCUCUGACCCAGCAACGCCGCGUGAAUGAAGAAGGUCUUCGGAUUGUAAAGUUCUUUAAUUGGUGAAGAAAGAAAUGACGGUAGCCAAAGAAUAAGCCACGACUAACUACGUGCCAGCCGCCGC
rnacentral:rRNA from 1 species